AGCUAGAUUGGCUGAGCUACUCAGCUGUCAGUACGUAACUGUCUCCAAUCUAUACAUACACAUGCAGACCUCUUCGGGAAACGAAUUCGAGAAUUUUCGGUCUUCAGAUGACAGCCUUGUGGCUCACCAUGAACACUGUGACAAGACCACGGACGUCUUUGUGAAGAAUCUAGCAAGCAAGCACUACUGGGCCUCUUCCCUUGACUUAAGAAUCACCCUCCAACUCUUCUCCAUUGGGAAGGCAGCUUCAGAGGAGACAUAAAAAGAGAAAGAAAAAUUUCUCCAAGUGAGACUGGUAUUUAUCAGGAACUUAACUUUCCUCAUCUCAACAAAAUGAGGAG